GCUGACAUCAGGAUUUCAAGUCCCCACUGCACAUUUCUCAGUCACUUUGGCUCAUGCUGACUAUUCUAAUUGGAACCUAUCCUUACAGAUUUUAUGGUUAGGGGGAAUUAUCCUUAUCUCUCCAAGUUCUGGGAUCUAGUCUGGGUAAGGGUCACAAAAGUCCCACCCUCCUCAAGGUAAAUUGUGUUCUUCUUAUCUGCAUUUUGGGCCUGCAUUUCCCCUGCAGGUAACAGGUUGUUUGCUGAGGAGUGUGACACAUCAGCCAGGCAGGGGUGCAGGUAAACUGCUUUUUAGAAAAGACAGCAAGUAGGGGUCAGUACAGUGGGUGUCGUUUAUAGAAUUAUUCCCUCAUCCUCAUGACCACAUGUUGCCACCACACACAUCUGUCUGUUCCCUAUAGGUUUCCUUAUCAGAAGAGGAAGCGACACCAGGAUCAUGCCUGCACAGAGGAAGAGAUGUCAAGGACAGCCAGCAUAAAGCCAAGGAGGCCUCCGAGGAGGCCAAACCUGCCUAAAUUUCGAUUUCACACUUGUGGCCGGUAGAACCAUGAGCCAACACACUCCUGGUGUUUCAGCAGUCCAGUCUGCGGCAUUUUAUUACGGCAGCCCAAGCAGAUACACAUGCACACGUUCUAAGAUGCUUGCAUGUAGCCACAGUCGUAGAAACGCACACACGUAGACACAAACCCAGAUGCCACCCACGCAGACCCACACUCACACCCCUGCACUGCUGCACACCCCACCACUAGGCAGAGGGGGAGCAGAACGGAGACCGUGGAACUCAGCCUCAGCCUCACGAGUGGAUGAUCUCUGGAAAGGGAAAUAAGAAUGGAACACAAGCAUGAAACUCUGCAACUCAGAAAAGUGGCGAGAGGGGUAACGGGGUGGAGAGAAAGCAGCAGUGAAGACGGCGACGGGGCAAUUUCCAGGGUGGUGAACGUGGGAGUGACGUGGUGAACAGACAACACAGGAAUGAGGAGACAUGCCCCCGAGUCAAGAACUGAGUUCCGCAAGUGGCUUUGGUUUGAAUGGAAGAGAAGGAAAGGAAAACAAGAAGAGAGAGGGUAGGCAAACCCAUGUUUCCAGAGGGAACUCGCCUAGUUAUCACCAGGCUGCCCCUGGGAACGAGGCAGAGACCCUUUGCAGGAAUCCUGCGGAGCAGCCUGAAUGCAGGGCAUAGGAAUGCCUGCAGCUGGCUGCGGUUAGCUGCUGCCUCUUGCGGUACAUCUCUUAGAGCCACUUGGUUGCUCAGGGGCCUGACUUCUGGGAGCAAUAUAGGGCUAGUCCACCAAGCCCAGACACUACUGGCAUUUUGGAUCACUUCAGAUGGGGACUUUGCCUCAGCCUGUUUUGAUAUCUGUGAAUUAGAAAAUUCCAGACGGAAACGGCAACUUGAGAACAUUUCCUCUCUGGUACUCUCUCCAACGCGAUGGACGGGUCGCCGGACCCCCUCAUUAUGCCUGCUCUUUCCUUGUUGCCUUUGUCAGCAACAAAUUCACUGCCCUCCUCACUUUUCUGGCCCAUGGAGCCUGCUCCUUCUUUGCUAUGGACAACAACGUCCAUGGAAUCCUCGGAACCAGAGACUUUCGGGAUGUUCUCGUCUUUCCUCGCCUCAUCCUCCAUGAUGGACAAGGAGAAGCUGGCACUCUUCCUCAUAGAGCUAAUCACACUCCUGGUCCAGGACUUGGAGAAGCUGAAUGAAGAUCUGAGGGGAGGUGGAGCAGCUUCAGGUCUGACUGCCUCCCCACAGCGUCCUACUGGGCCAGCAGGUGAAGAAGGUUUUGUUUUCCAGGAGGCUGUUGAAGACAGAGGUUCUGAUCACAUUUGGAACACGAAAGAAGCAAAAAGGGUGGAAGAGUUGCAGUACAAAUGAAGAGAAGGAGAAUAAUAGCUGAGAGAAGGAAUGAAGAAGGAGUCCUGUAUCCAGUGGGGGAUACCCAACAUUACAUUAACACUUUAAAAAAGGGCACAUUGUCUCAGUUCAGGCACAUCAGAUGCCUGAAAGUGUGAAGCCAUGUGUUUGCUAAGACUGCACUUGCUUUUGGAACUGGACAAGAUCUGAUGGAAACCUGCAAACCCAAGUGGCCUGACCUUGAGAGCCAGAUUCACUCACUAGGAUGGACUGGAUGAUUCACCAUGAUGGUCUUGACUGAGAUGCCUUGUGGUGGGAUGUGAUACUUCAUUUGCAGAGUCACAGCCAAAGGAGCCAGAUGACACUCCAAAAGGCAGAGGAGGCUUCAUCAGACUAAAGAACAAAAUGACCUGUGGGGGUGACGCAGUAUAAGCCAGGAUAUUCAGGAGUAGAUGGCUUCAACAUUCAUGCUCGUGUUACUGUGGACAAGUGGGCGGACCUAAGAACUGAGAAGCACCCCACCACUGCAGAUGCAGCCCCCACAUGUAAGGAGACUGGGAAAGGUAAAGUGGUUAAGUCUCAGGGGACAGCAGGUGGCUGCUUUUAACUCUCCCUGCAGUGAGGGAAGGGGACAGGAUUGGGGAGCAAGGGGCAUUUUGUGGGGGACAGGGCAUAAUCAUAGGAAAAAUGGCUCCUGCAUCAUGGGGACUCUUUCAAGCUGCACUUGGAAUUAAAGGCCAUCAUACCAUCUGAGGAUGCUCAGAGGCUGGGGCAUGAAGUCUGGUAAUAGCCCUUUGACAUCAGAGGGGUUAUUAUCUCCACCACAUUUCUUGGCUUUUUGAAGGGCAAACAGAGACUGAAAUCACUAGAACAAUAAAACCACUCUUAGUGUUUUGGAGGCACAGAGCAGGUAGAGUGAAUUCUGAGCCACUGCAGAUAGUGACUGGGAGCACUUUGAAGCCAGAGAGCAAAUGGACCAUGUGGGAUGCGUAGAAAAAGCAGGCAGCAAAAAUCUAUUCUACCCAACCAGCUGCCCCAGCCAGACCCAGAGAGACCGUCUUUGACUCCUCCUAUUCCCUCCCCACUCCUCCAAAUGGGCUGUUUCCAUGGCUUGCUCUUAAGAACUAUGUUGCUAUGGACAUUUUAUACAUGUCUCCUGGUGCUCGUGGACAAGAAUUUCUGCAAGAUAAUGCCAAAUGGUUUUCAAAAGUGAUUGAGCCAACAUAACAAUCAGACACAAUGCAUGAAUCUUAGAUUAGGAAAAAAGAAACCAUGAAAGACGCAUUUGGGCCAUUGGUGAAAUUUGAAUAUGGACUGGAUAUGGUACUGUGAAAUUAUUGUUAACUUAAAAAAUGUAAAUGGUAUUGGAUAUGCACGAAAAUGUCCUUGCCUUAUUCUUUCUUAAUAGUAGUUUAGAAUUAAGUGCUAAGCUAUCUACAGUUUGUUUUCAAAUGCCUCUGUGUUUGGAGAAGGAGAGGGAGAGAGGGGCAGAGAAAAGAUAGAGGAGGUGAUAGAGAGAGAGGGAGAGAGGGAAAGGAGAAGAAAGUGGAAAGGUGGAGCGGGGGGAAGCAAAUGUAGCAGAAUGUUGUGGGUCAGGUGCAGUGUGGCAUUUUUCAAGAUAAAAACCUGUGAAAAGAAAAGAAAAAAAUGUUUGAACCAGCAAGAGCCUAGGUAGGAAAACCGAAACCACUUUAGGUAUUUCAGUUAGAGGGGAUUCAGUACCAUGAAUUGGCUUCAAAGGCUUUGGGCAUGGUGGAAGAGCAAAUGGAAGGGUGUGAGAAUGGACAAGCAAUGGGAGGAAACAGUGGUCCCCUCAAAGCAGAAGCCAUUAGUUCCCUUUAACUCAGCCCACAGGCCUGACCUUGCUUCUAUGGCAGCUUCUGCACCUGGCUCUGGAUUCCUGAAUAGGUGCUACCUCAAGCAGGACAGGAGCUUCAAGGUGCGACCUUGACUCAUCUGCUAGCUUUCAGCUCCCCUCCCCUCCAUGGCCACCUUCAUCAGUACCUGCCACCCACAGUCAAAGCCAGCAGCAGAGAGCUUUCCUCUGGCUCCUGCAUUCUGAUCUUUACCAGCACCUUCCAUGGGAGAACCUAACAGGAAACCUCUGAGCAGGGGAUGCUGGGAAACAGACCUUAACAGACUGCAAAGCCUCACAGUUCAGAGCAGAAGGAGGAUGUGGCACUCAGAGACAUUACAUUAGGCAUCUAGGGACACCCUCCCCCAGCAGUAGGCCAGAGUCCCCCCUGCCCCCAUCUUUGCUAACAUGUCAGACUUGGUAAGUCUGACUUUUUAGCUUUUGAGUUGGGCGUGACUCUAUUUAACUUGCAUUUCUGCUUAUCCUUGUGGCUAGUCUAAAUAUUUGUCCCUUGGAGAGACUAUCUCUGACAUAGCUGAUGAGCUUCUCCUGCUGUACCCUACCCUGGGCUUCUGCAUUGCACUCAUCAAAACUAAUAAUUAUACAUUCAUUUCUGAGAUUAUUUGAGUAAUAAUAGUCUACUCCAUUAUUGUGUAAAUCCCACAAAGGCAAGAUGUGUCUCUUGUUUUCUGUUGUAUUUCCUGUGAUGAGCACGUGUCAGGCACCUUGUAGGCACUUGAUUAAUAUAUCGAAUGCAUGAAUGAAGAGGGAUGAGCUGCAGUGCCAACCUUGUGUAGUGGAUUGGACUGAGAAGAGAAACAUCCCCUAGUCAUUCCUUUAAUUGUCAGUUACUGAGCAGGUCCGUGGUAAUGCCAGAACACCAUGGAAGUAAGCCAUUCUUUAUUGUUUGUUUUAUCAUAUGUUUAUAAGUGUGUAUAUAUAUGUAUGUAUGUGUGUGUAUAAAAUUUGUUGUAAAUAACAAUCAUCAACAAACUGCAUUGUGUCAGUCUUCUUUCUGUGACUAUAAUAAAUACUUGAGAUAGUCAACUUAAAA